ACCGAUCGAAUUCGCCGCUGGCGCAGAGAAGCGCAAGGCAGAGAGUCCGCCGCUCCAGCUGUGGGUCCGACUCAGUGCAUCAGCAGCAUCGUCGGCGCCGGGAAGCUGCGAAACUAAAAGCGGAAUAGUGAACAUUUUUUUUUGUGCCCCAAGUUUUUUUUGCGUAAAUAUCUUGCCCUCGGCCGACCUGGCUUAGUGAAAAAAAAAGUAGAGGAAAUAAAAACCCAGAUCAAAAUUAUACCCAUGAGCCAAUAGGCAAGGUCUUAGGCUAGCCCUAUGUGGAGCCCAAAGAAAAGAAAGGCAUAAGGGAAUAGAAAUACAAUAUCAAUGCUCAAAAGCAAAG